UACGUAGGGUGCGAGCGUUAAUCGGAAUUACUGGGCGUAAAGCGCGCGUAGGCGGCUCGGAAAGUCGGGCGUGAAAUGCCGGGGCUCAACCCCGGGACUGCGUCCGAUACUUCCGAGCUGGAGGUAGGUAGGGGAGAUCGGAAUUCCUGGUGUGGCGGUGAAAUGCGCAGAUAUCAGGAGGAACACCGGUGGCGAAGGCGGAUCUCUGGGCCUUACCUGACGCUGAGGCGCGAAAGCUAGGGGAGCGAACAGG
rnacentral:rRNA from 1 species